rnacentral:rRNA from 1 species
GGAAAUCUCACCAGGCCCGGACACUGGAAGGAUUGACAGAUUGAUAGCUCUUUCUUGAUUCGGUGGGUGGUGGUGCAUGGCCGUUCUUAGUUGGUGGAGUGAUCUGUCUGGUUAAUUCCGAUAACGAACGAGACCCCAACCUGCUAACUAGCCCUCGGGUCCUGCUUCUGUUGGGCCCGACGGAAUGAUUCGCUUCUUAGAGGGACUCGCGGCGCCUAGCCGCACGAAGGGGGGCGAUAA